AUUGCCCCAGUAACGGCGAGUGAAGCGGCAAUAGCUCAAAUUUGAAAUCUGGCCCUUUCAGGGUCCGAGUUGUAAUUUGCAGAGGGCGCUUUGGUGUCGGCAGCAGCCUAAGUUCCUUGGAACAGGUCAUCAUAGAGGGUGAGAAUCCCGUAUGUGGCUGCUUGUCUUCACCGUGUAAAGCCCCUUCGAUGAGUCGAGUUGUUUGGGAAUGCAGCUCUAAAUGGGAGGUAAAUUUCUUCUAAAGCUAAAUAUUGGCCAGAGACCGAUAGCGCACAAGUAGAGUGAUCGAAAGAUGAAAAGCACUUUGGAAAGAGAGUCAAAAAGCACGUGAAAUUGUUGAAAGGGAAGCGCUUGCAGCCAGACGUGCCCGUAGUUGCUCAUCUGGGGUUUUCCCCAGUGUAUUCUUCUAUGGGCAGGCCAGCAUCAGUUCGGGCGGUUGGAGAAAGACCUGUGUCACGUAGCUCCUUUCGGGGAGUGUUAUAGGGCAGGUGGAAUGCAACCAGCCUGAACUGAGGUCCGCGCAUCUGCUAGGAUGCUGGCGUAAUGGCUGUAAGCGGCCCGUCUUGAAACACGGACCAAGGAGUCUAACAUCUAUGCGAGUGUUUGGGUGUCAAGCCCGAGCGCGUAAUGAAAGUGAACGGAGGUGGGAACCCCUCGGGGCGCACCAUCGACCGAUCCUGAUGUCUUCGGAUGGAUUUGAGUAAGAGCAUAGCUGUUGGGACCCGAAAGAUGGUGAACUAUGCCUGAAUAGGGUGAAGCCAGAGGAAACUCUGGUGGAGGCUCGCAGCGGUUCUGACGUGCAAAUCGAUCGUCAAAUUUGGGCAUAGGGGCGAAAGACUAAUCGAACUAUCUAGUAGCUG
rnacentral:rRNA from 1 species